GCUUGUCUCAAAGAUUAAGCCAUGCAUGUCUAAGUAUAAACGAUUUUAUACGUGAAACUGCGAAUGGCUCAUUAUAUCAGUUAUAGUUUAUUUGAUGGUCCUUACUACUUGGAUAACCGUAGUAAUUCUAGAGCUAAUACAUGCAUCAAGCCCUGACUUCGGAAGGGGUGUAUUUAUUAGAUGGAAACCAAUGCGGGGCAACCCGGAAAAUGGUGAUUCAUGAUAACUUUGCGAAUCGCAUAGCUUUAAUGCUGGCGAUGGGUCAUUCAAAUUUCUGCCCUAUCAACUUUCGACGGUAGGAUAGAGGCCUACUGUGGUGAUAACGGGUAACGAAGAAUAAGGGUUCGAUUUCGGAGAGGGAGCCUGAGAAACGGCUACCACAUCCAAGGAAGGCAGCAGG
rnacentral:rRNA from 1 species